UUUCUGCACAAUGCUGCUCAAUCCUGCUUGGGAGCCCAGCCUCAGGUGCGGAAUGAAGCCAAGCAAGCUCGAGGGAAACUGUGUGCUGGUAACUGGUCAGUUCUUGCUUUCUUUUUCAUUCCUCACGCCUAAGAAAACCUAACUCUUUCAAGCACUUGUUGGAUGGACUUGAUUCUGGGUGUGCUCCUUAAGCUUGUUUGGCAGCUGUUGAACCCCGCUACACUUGCAGGAGACCUAUGCUCGAGUUGAUGCUUGCUGUGAUCAAGCGCUGUUCUUUUGCUCUUCUUUGCUUUGGGGAUGGCGGGUGAGGUUGCAAAGAGUUUUCAGGAGGAUUCCUCUUUUCCUUUGCAGAAUGCCAGACUGCGUAUUAGAGCUGAUCUUCAUCUCUGCUCGGAAAAGCUUCACGGGCCAAAAGAGAAUGGAGAUGAGGAAGGCAAUGGAGAAUGAUGAGGACUAUUUGCAGUCAGCACCCCAACUUCUGCCUUGGCUCUUCCCAUCAAGCCAGAGCAGUUUCUUGGCCUGCGCAACCUGCAGACUGACCUCUCGUGUGUAUCCGUGCUGGACUGAGGGUAAUGUUUGGAACACACACUGAUGCUGUAUUCACUAGAACUUUGAGAAGAGAGAGCAAGAAGCUAACCUGCAGACGAGUUUCUUAGGUUUCUGUAGAGAGAGGGAGAUAUACAUGCAUACAUAUUUACUUCUGUCUUUACUUCUUUCAAGAUAGCUUUUGUUCUCCAAAAUGAAUCCUCUGACUGUUACUAAUGUAUGGGACACACCUUGACACUCUAAUGGCAUAGAAAUACUUUUCAGCUCAUCCUUGCUAUUGUUUCUGGAUUGAAAAAAUAAUUGUGAAUAUGAUUACCUGCUUGGAAUCUUUUUUUUUUUUUAAUAUAUACCUAUUCUAUUAUGAAAUCCUAUAGGAAGGAGUGAACUCAAGAGGAAAAAAAAAAAAAGAAAACAAUUUUAAUUCCACUUCUAAAUUAGAUAUCUAAUCCUGAUAGAUUCACUCCCUUCCAAACAGAGCUCAACAAAUGAAACAGUAAAAAAUGCACAUAAUAUUUCUUCUAUGCCAAGAUUUCAUGGCACAAUAGUUCUUUGCCUAACCCUGCAAUAGCCCCAUAGGCAUUGCAAUUGCUUACUUGUUCUUCUUCUUUGCUUGUGUUUAGUGUUUGCUUUUCUAAUGUUACAACAUUGGAUUGAUUUCCCUCCUUAGGUAUCAAGAGAAGAAGGCAUUUGCUUCAGAGGACAGUACUUUGAUGCUUUCCAGGGCUAAUGGCCAAAGUUCUCCAAGCACUUUUUUUUUUUUUCUUUUUUUUUUUUUUUCCCCAUCAGUGAUUUAUACAUUUGUCAAUCUUUCCAUCUUCAUUUACAACUCCGAAUUUAGGUUUUAGGUGAACAAGAACCCUGAAACCAGCUGAAGCCAUAUCAGACAUGAAGCCAUAUCAGACAUAGUAAGGACAUGUGUCUGUGAGGAAGUAAUUCCGAGUGAUUCUCUGGUGUCCUUUGGACAGCUUUCCUCUGGUCCUCUGCACUAGGCAUCCCCAAGGGAUAUUUCAAAGCUCUCGGCAUGAUCUGUCAUUCUCUCUUCCACUGGAGUUUCCAUUAGAAAAGCGUGACUAUUCCUUGCCCAUGUGGAAAAGAAGUCCUCCUUGAGUUGUUUCUAACCAAAACCUCUUUCUUGUGUUCUAUGGACAGAAACCACUUGGCUAGACAAACUCAAUCCUUGCAAAUGGAAGGAGUGGAAGUACUUCAGCAGCGUGCUUCGGCUUCUAAGCAGAACUGUAAUGUAGGUGGGGACAGAGCAAGAGGACAUGGCCAAGCCAGGGUGGACUUGAAAGUGCCGUGUCCGAGCCACAGCAAGAAAUCCGUGAUUGCCACUUGGAGACGGCUGCUCACCUAGUAGCACAGCAGCUGGAACGCUUCUGGAUCCUGCUGAUGGAUUGCCACGAAUCAGGCAGUGACACAAGCUACGAGAACGACGGAAGUGACUGGAAG